CCUACGGGAGGCAGCAGUGAGGAAUAUUGGUCAAUGGGCGAGAGCCUGAACCAGCCAAGUCGCGUGAGGGAAGACGGUCCUAUGGAUUGUAAACCUCUUUUGCCGGGGAGCAAAAAGCGGUACGUGUACCGCAUCGAGAGUACCCGGAGAAAAAGCAUCGGCUAGCUCCGUGCCGCCAGCCGCGGUAAUACGGAGGAUGGGACCGUUAUCCGGAUGUAUUGGGUUAAAGGGGUGGGCAGGCGGCGAGUAAAGUCAGCGGUAAAAUUUCGGGGCUAAACCCCGACAAGCCGUUGAACCUGGCUUGCUAGAGUGUGCGAGAAGUAUGCGGAAUGCGUGGUGUAGCGGUGAAAUGCAUAGAUAUC
rnacentral:rRNA from 1 species